UUGUGCCCUUCACCUUGCAUGGGAAUAAGGGGGGUGAGGGGGGAUGCCCCUCGGCCCCUCCCAUUCUCAAAAAGUGUGAUAAUGAGAAAUCGAAAAAUGUUAGAGUAGAAUAUAGUGUUGUGUUGACUGUAUCGACUAACCAAGAGGAAGUAUGGUCGCCAUCCAGAGGUGGGGGAGAAGUCGAUGUUGGAAAGGAGCCAAGUGUUGUAACCAGUCGCCGUGUGCAGCAUGUGCUAAAAGGAGUUGUUGCAGUCCAGAAGACGUGAUUGGUGUGUGAUAAUCCAGAGGGACAUUAACGCUCGACUGAAUGUUGGAAAUGAGAGGCAGUAAAGGUGUAAGUAUUGUUAUUGAAGUUGUACGUAUACUUUGUUAUAAUUUGAAGAGUAGAGCAUUUGUAACAUUGACGUAUUGUUUUUUGUUUUCAUGUUGGUGGUGGAGGAGCGCGUCGACACUGGAUACGGUGAUGUGAAAUUGUGCAAUGUAUUAUUUGAAGGUUUGAGGAUGGAGUGGUGGUGGGUAGUGCCGUAACCAGGUUGGAGAAAGGGUGGACUACUACAUGUAUGGGGCUGUGCAAUGGACUGUGUUGAGGAGAAGAAGCAGCAGCAGCAGGGGCGGCGGCGGUAGCAGCAGUGGCGGCAGUUGUUUAAGAUAAGUAGUGUGGUGUGGUGCAUCGUGAAUUGUUUGUGAUAGUUUAGGGUCAUAGUGAA
rnacentral:lncRNA from 1 species